GCUGAUAUUUAGUUGAAGAUAUUUAUGUCUCUGUUGAUGGGGGAUAUUCAUCUCUGGGUUUUUUUGUUUUUUGUAAUUGUCUGGUUUUGGUAUCAGGAUGAUAAUGUUGGCUUCAUCUUUUUAUGUUUUGGGGAUUUUAUUGAUAAUCCCCUCUUAGUUAUGAUACAGACUAUUUUUUCCUUUGAUCAUUCUGACUUGAAGAUUACUAAUUAUAUUGAUCUUUUCAAAGAAUCAGCUUUUGAGUUCACUGAUACUCUGUUUUUGUUUUGUUUUCAUCUU
rnacentral:lncRNA from 10 species